rnacentral:rRNA from 1 species
UACGGGGGGGGCAAGCGUUGUUCGGAAUUACUGGGCGUAAAGGGCUCGUAGGCGGCCAACUAAGUCAGACGUGAAAUCCCUCGGCUUAACCGGGGAACUGCGUCUGAUACUGGAUGGCUUGAGUUUGGGAGAGGGAUGCGGAAUUCCAGGUGUAGCGGUGAAAUGCGUAGAUAUCUGGAGGAACACCGGUGGCGAAGGCGGCAGCCUGGACCAACACUGACGCUGAGGAGCGAAAGCCAGGGGAGCAAACGGG